GAUGAAGAACGCAGCGAAAUGCGAUAAGUAAUGUGAAUUGCAGAAUUCAGUGAAUCAUCGAAUCUUUGAACGCAUAUUGCGCCCUCUGGUAUUCCGGGGGGCAUGCCUGUUCGAGCGUCAUUACAACCCUCAAGCUCAGCUUGGUGUUGGGCCCCGCCGCCCCGGCGGGCCCUAAAGUCAGUGGCGGUGCCGUCCGGCUCCGAGCGUAGUAAUUCUUCUCGCUCUGGAGGUCCGGUCGUGUGCUCGCCAGCAACCCCCAAUUUUUUUCAGGUUGACCUCGGAUCAGGUAGGGAUACCCGCUGAACUUAAGCAUAUCAAUAAGCGGAGGA
rnacentral:misc_RNA from 1 species